rnacentral:rRNA from 1 species
CGGGGUGCAGCAGGCGCGAAACCUCUGCAAUAGGCGAAAGCCUGACAGGGUUACUCUGAGUGAUUCCCGCUAAGGGGAUCUUUUGGCACCUCUAAAAAUGGUGCAGAAUAAGGGGUGGGCAAGCCUGGUGUCAGCCGCCGCGGUAAUACCAGCACCCCGAGUGGUCGGGACGAUUAUUGGGCCUAAAGCAUCCGUAGCCGGCCACGCAAGUCCUCCGUUAAAUCCACCCGCUCAACGGUUGGGCUGCGGAGGAUACUACGUGGCUAGGAGGCGGGAGAGGCAAGCGGUACUCAAUGGGUAGGGGUAAAAUCCUUUGAUCCAUUGAAGACCACCAGUGGCGAAGGCGGCUUGCCAGAACGCGCUCGACGGUGAGGGAUGAAAGCUGGGGGAGCAAACCGGAUUAGAUACCCGGGUAGUCCCAGCUGUAAACGAUGCAGACUCGGUGAUGGGAUGGCCUCGAGCCAUCCCAGUGCCGCAGGGAAGCCGUUAAGUCUGCCGCCUGGGGAGUACGGUCGCAAGACUGAAACUUAAAGGAAUUGG